rnacentral:rRNA from 1 species
GACGAACGCUGGCGGCGUGCCUAAUACAUGCAAGUUGAGCGCUGAAGGUUGGUACUUGUACCAACUGGAUGAGCAGCGAACGGGUGAGUAACGCGUGGGGAAUCUGCCUUUGAGCGGGGGACAACAUUUGGAAACGAAUGCUAAUACCGCAUAAAAACUUUAAACACAAGUUUUAAGUUUGAAAGAUGCAAUUGCAUCACUCAAAGAUGAUCCCGCGUUGUAUUAGCUAGUUGGUGAGGUAAAGGCUCACCAAGGCGAUGAUACAUAGCCGACCUGAGAGGGGGAUCGGCCACAUUGGGACUGAGACACGGCCCAAACUCCUACGGGAGGCAGCAGUAGGGAAGCUUCGGCAAUGGACGAAAGUCUGACCGAGCAACGCCGCGGGAGGGAAGAAGGUUUUCGGAUCGUAAAACUCUGUUGGUAGAGAAGAACGUUGGUGGGAGUGGAAAGCUCAUCAAGUGACGGUAACUACCCAGAAAGGGACGGCUAACUACGUG